CAUACCUUUUCAGAUUGAUGUUUCAUUCCCUUCCUCUCUCUCUCGUUCCCUGCCUCUUCUCCUCCAGUGUAACCCUAACCCAGCGCAGCCGAGCCUCCUCUCUCUCUCGCUCUGUCUCUCUCGUUCCCUGCCUCUUCUCCUCCAGUGUAACCCUAACCCACGGCGGCGCGACCCUUUUCCCUUAUCCCUCUCCUCUGUACUCUGGACCCUCUCUCCUUCCUUCCCAACUCCGCCGCUCUUCCGCUUCGUCUUUUUCCUUCACAGCGACCUGCAAGUUGUGUGUGUGGAAACCCUCAUGGUUUGAUCAGGAAGUACGGCCUCAUGUGCUGCAGGCAGUGCUUCCGCAGCAAUGCCAAGGAAAUCGGCUUCAUCAAGUAUCGUUAAGUGGCUGAUAUUCAAACAUUCCAGGAGUCGAUGAUUUGGCCCAAGAUGAGUACUAGUAGUAUUGGUUUCUGAGUUCUCAUCAACUUUUAAGAAGAUAUUUUUGUUUUAGCUGAUCUGCUGUUGAACUUGAAUUGGUUGUCAGACUUAAGAAUAUUUGUUAUUAAUGAAUUAAAGUUUGAUUUAUGUUC